rnacentral:rRNA from 1 species
UACAGAGGUCUCAAGCGUUGUUCGGAUUCAUUGGGCGUAAAGGGUGCGUAAGCGGCGCGGUAAGUCGGAUGUGAAAUCUCGGAGCUUAACUCCGAAACUGCAUUCGAUACUGCCGUGCUUGAGGACUGGAGAGGAGACUGGAAUUUACGGUGUAGCGGUGAAAUGCGUAGAUAUCGUAAGGAAGACCAGUGGCGAAGGCGGGUCUCUGGACAGUUCCUGACGCUGAGGCACGAAGGCCAGGGGAGCAAACGGG